AGUGAACGCUGGCGGUAGGCCUAACACAUGCAAGUCGAACGGCAGCACAGUAAGAGCUUGCUCUUACGGGUGGCGAGUGGCGGACGGGUGAGGAAUACAUCGGAAUCUACUUUUUCGUGGGGGAUAACGUAGGGAAACUUACGCUAAUACCGCAUACGACCUACGGGUGAAAGCAGGUGAUCUUCGGCCCUUGCGCGAUUGAAUGAGCCGAUGUCGGAUUAGCUAGUUGGCGGGGUAAAGGCCCACCAAGGCGACGAUCCGUAGCUGGUCUGAGAGGAUGAUCAGCCACACUGGAACUGAGACACGGUCCAGACUCCUACGGGAGGCAGCAGUGGGGAAUAUUGGACAAUGGGCGAAAGCCUGAUCCAGCAAUACCGCGUGGGUGAAGAAGGCCUUCGGGUUGUAAAGCACUUUUGUUGGGAAAGAAAAGCAGCAGGUUAAUACCCCGCUGUUCUGACGGUACCCAAAGAAUAAGCACCGGCUAACUUCGUG
rnacentral:rRNA from 1 species